GACGAACGCUGGCGGCGUGCUUAACACAUGCAAGUCGAGCGAUGAAGUUCCUUCGGGAAUGGAUUAGCGGCGGACGGGUGAGUAACACGUGGGUAACCUGCCUCAUCGAGGGGAAUAGCUUGUCGAAAGGAAGAUUAAUCCCGAAUAAGAUUGUAGUAUCGCAUGAUACAGCAAUUAAAGGAGGAAUCAGCUAUGAGAUGGACCCGCGUGGAAUUAGCUAGUUGGGGAGGUAACGGCUCACCAAGGGGACGAUGCGUAGCCGACCUGAGAGGGUGAUCGGCCAGAUUGGGACUGAGACACGGCCCAGACUCCUACGGGAGGCAGCAGUGGGGGAUAUUGCACAAUGGGGGAAACCCUGGUGCAGCAACGCCGCGCGAGUGAUGACGGUCUUCGGAUUGUAAAGCUCUGUCUUCAGGGACGAUAAUGACGGUACCUGAGGAGGAAGCCACGGCUAACUACGUGCCAGCCGCCGCAGUAA
rnacentral:rRNA from 1 species